AAGACCAGGAAUGGUAUCAGGAACUCCUGAAAGCUUUGAAAAGCCAACAUACACAAGUUUCGAUCCUUAAUGCAUAUGCCUCAAGUCAUCUUCAACUUCUAAUGAACAGAAUUUUGGUUAUUAUAGAAGAUUUUUCCUUAGGAUUUCAGGAAAUUUGUUUUCAUAUGGAUGUUCUCGAUCUCUUCUCUAGAAAUGUAUAUUUCUCCUCCUCUUUCUAAACAAUCAGAUAUCUUUUUAUAGCCAUGGCCUUAGGGCAACAAAUCCUUCUUGUUUUCUUAUUAGUCCUUUACCCAUUUUUCAGAUUUGCUUAAUUAAUCCCUUAUUUUUUAACUUGUGCCUCAAGUUUUGAGAGAGAAUUAACAGAAAUUACAUUUUGAACCUCCACUAGAAUGUUCCAGGGGUUUGUUACAAGAUUCAUAUGCUCAAAUACCAGCAUUAUCCCUGUCUUCCUUUCUUAAUGACUAGCCUAGAUGUUUUAUACCCUGGUGCCUAUCCAUCUGGUCAGAAAUUGACCCUUGUUAACUACUCAAGGUCAUAAACCAGGGUGACAUUAUCAGCUAGGAUUGAAUUUUGAGAAAGCUGGACAUGGCCAACUAUUCAAUUGGAGACUCUACUUUACUUAUGUAAAAGCAAACAAACAAGUGCCAAAAAUUGAUAAGUAACAAAUCGAUGCAACACAUAUAUACAGGUGGAUUUAGACAAGUAUCAAAAUAUGGAACUAACUUACUCGGAAGAACAUAUAAAUCUAAACAGCACAAAAUUCAGAAACAAUGUUUAUCACACAUGGACACUGAUCAAUUUUGAAACAAAAGUGGAAAGUUAAACCAGAUAUGAACAAUUCUGAGCUUAGCAUGAUAAUUCAACUGAGUUAAAUGAAACAAAUUAUGACUUCAAAUGACAAGAGGAUCAUUCAAAAGCACAUUAUCAAAACUUAAAACAAAAAGCAUAUGAUGGAAACAAAGUAACUAAUCAGAAAUUUUUCACACGUGAGCAAAUGGACAUUCAUGUAUUUACAUAACAAAGACAAAUUAAAAAAAAAAGGUACCUGGUAUCAAUUUAAAAGGGUCCCGGGGAGGUUAGGUCUUUGGUCAGUGCUUCGUCAAAUAUUUGAAGCGAUUGGUAGGGGUUUGGAGGAAUAUAGCCAUGGAUUCGUUAUGGGGAUGGGGUGAGGAAUAUGUGGUGUUAUUUUGGGAGGGUUCUGGCGAUGGUGCCGUCGUGGACGGCGGAGGCGAUGUUCAAAGAUUCUAAUAUUCGAGACGACUGGCUUGCAUUCUAGACUUGAUUUUUAGGGCAUCAGAAAGAGGAGGGCACGGGGAAUCAGGGGUGUAUUUUAGGGAGAAGUCUGAGCUUUACCGCGGACGGAGACGAUUUCCGGCCGGCGGUGGACGGUGGGUCUGUGGUUGUCUCCUGGACGGUGUUACACCGGUGAAGGUUUGUACGAGGAGGAAAGGGUUUGUCUCUGAGUGUAUUACACACGUUUGGACAUUUGUGUAAUUGCAUCACCCCGGCGGUGGACGGUGGGUCUGUGGUUGUCUCCUGGACGGUGUUACACCGGUGAAGGUUUGUACGAGGAGGAAAGGGUUUGUCUCUGAGUGUAUUACACACGUUUGGACAUUUAUAUAGGUUUUGGGAGGGGGUUUUAGGACCGUUGGAUCAUCUUUGAUGGAUGACUGAGAUUGAUGGCCCCAAAACGACGUCGUUUUGGGGCGUCUCUCAUAUCAGCUUGGGUCAGAAACCGAUUUUGGGCUAGUGUUUGGUAUUUUUGACGGGUAAGAGGGUUUGGGCCACCCAAGCUUGGCCCAAUCGUGGCCAACCUAUCACUUUUAAUUCCUACUUUUUUUCAUUUUCAUUUUUUAAAAACAUCCUAAUAUUAUUUUUUUUAAAUCUUAUUAGACUAAAUUAGACUAAUAACCACCUAAAGCAAACAAAUAUUAAAAUUAACAAUAAAAUACCAAAAUAAACUACUUAUGUUUUGUGAUUUUUAAAUUUCGCAAAAUAAAACCUUAAUUACCCAUUAAUUCUAACAAAAUAUGUGAAAUCAAAUCCUAAAUGCAUAUGUAAUUUUUGUAUUUUUUAUGACUUGUCAUGCAUACACCAGUAAAAUAUACACAAAUAUGCAUGAUUAAAUCCUAAAAAUUGAAUAAUAAAAGGAGAAAUCUUAACUCUGAGAAUCCUGUAGGAGUAAUUUUGAUGAGGCAAAAAUCAAAUGCUCACAGCCCUUAGAGUAAGUUUUAAAGUUUUUUGAAUUUCUCAUCUUAAUUCUUCAGUCAAGAAUUUUAGUUUUAAACUUUGCAGAAUUAAUUAUUAAAUUUUUAAAUUUUUCUAUUUGUUUCUUUUGUUGCACUGAUUCUUUAGUAUUUACAAGAUUAGAACUUUAUUAUUUUUCAGUGAAUUAUGCCUACCCGCAGUGAGUUAGUUAGUAAGAUUAGCUUGUUGAGUGUCAAAACCGACUAACCGAUACCCGAGAACCAAUAUCUUAUCUGUUUAGCGUAUUUAUAAACCGAUAACCGAUAUACUGAACCAAUAACAUUCACAACCGAACUGGACCGACAAAUGCCCACCCCUAAUAUUGAGAAGUGAUAAGACUCAGUAAAGGAUAAGAAAUGAUGUGAAGGAGCAAGUGAAGUUGAAGAUGUAGAAGCUUGAACUGGUGAAGGACUCUUAGCAGGCUGAAGUAAGUGUAAACCAUCAUUCUCCUUACCAAUCCCCUUUACCUUUCCAAUAUAGAGGUCUUGGAAGAUACAAAAGUCAGGAAAAAAAAACAACACAACAUUGUAUUUGUGUAGUUAGUUUCGAAAUGGACAAGAGAUUAUACUUAAAGAAAGGUACAUGUAGCACAUUAGUCAGUAUAUUUCCAAACAAAGACACUGAAUCAAUGUGUAUGACUGAAGUAGUUUGACCAUUUGGUAAGUGAAAUUGACUACAGUUUGGAGGUAUUAGUUCUAAGUUGAGCAGAUAAUUUAGGCUAGAAAACAUGUGAUUUAUUGCCCCUGUAUCUAUCACCCAAGGAGUAGUAUCACAGUCUGCAGUUGAACAACUAUUAGAGCAAGAAUAUAUAUAUGCCAUGUUGAUGUUUGUCUCUUGUGAAGGUGGUGUCUAUUGAUUAGCUACAGAAUCUAUUAAUAUUGCUCCAGGGUAAAGACAUGCAUAGUCAUUCCAUGAGCAGGUGUGGUGCAAUUAUCAGCAUAUGUGCAUUGUAGUUAGGAACAACAAAGUUGUUAUCACAGUUUGCAUUAUUCACCAUGGGAGCCUUGUUGCCAUUGCCAAUUUGUUGAAAUCUAUCAGAAGUUCUUCUUUUAGUGUUCUUAUAAUUGGUAUAUUUCCAAACAAAGACACUGAAUCAAUGUGUAUGACUGAAGUAGUUUGACCUUUUGGUAAGUGAAUUUGACUACAGUUUGGAGGUAUUAGUUCUAAGUUGAGCAGAUAAUUUAGGCUAGAAAAUAUGUGAUUUAUUGCCCCUGUAUCUAUCACCCAAGGAGUAGUAUCACAGUCUACAGUUGAACAACUAUUAAAGCAAGAAUAUAUAUAUGCCAUGUUGAUGUUUGUCUCUUGUGGAGGUGGUGUCUAUUGAUUAGCUAUAGAAUCUAUUGAUAUUGCUCCAGGGUAAAGACAUGCAUAGUCAUUCCAUGAGCAGGUGUGGUGCAAUUAUCAGCAUAUGUGCAUUGUAGUUAGGAACAACAAAGUUGUUAUCACAGUUUGCAUUAUUCACCAUGGGAGCCUUGUUGCCAUUGCCAAUUUGUUGAAAUCUAUAUGUGCAUUGUAGUUAGGAACAACAAAAUUAUCAGCAUAUGUGCAUUGUAGUUAGGAACAACAAAGUUGUUAUCACAGUUUGCAUUAUUCACCAUGGGAGCCUUGUUGCCAUUGCCAAUUUGUUGAAAUCUAUCAGAAGUUCUUCUUUUAGUGUUCUUAUAAUUGGCAGGAUAUCCAACCAGCUUACAGAAAUUAUCCCUUUUGUGGCCUCUCAUAUGAAAGUAACCACAGUAGAGUGUAUUUACCUUUUUGAACCUAUUCCCCUAUAUAGAGGAAAGAAUGGUGGAGUCAUUUAAAUCCAGUUGUUAGAGAGGUUGAACAUACUGAUUUAUCAUAUUUGAUUGUAUCAUCUAGCUUUCAUCUUGCAUGAUCAUAUUGUAAGAUUGAUUCAAGGAAGUACUGGGAACCAUCAUCAAAAUUUGCCUACGAGACUGUGAGUAAGUCUCAUUUAACCCCAUCAGAAAUUGCAUUAGCUUCCGUUGCGCUAUGUAGUCUGCAUAGGUCUUAUCAAGAGGAACUAGAGACAGAUAUUCAUCAUCCCAAACAUUUCUCAAUUUUGAAAAAUACUCAGAAACAGAUGAAGUACCUUGGACCAUUGUAUAAAUCUCUCUAUGUAGUUGAUAUACUCUAGUGAGAUUCCUCUUAUCAACACGUUCUUUUAAAUCCUCCCAGACUUUAUAAGCACUAGAUGAGUACAUCAAUCCAUUAGCUAAUUCUCUCAAAUCUGAAUUUGUGAUCCACGUCAAGACAAAGGCAUUACACCUGUCCCAAUCAUGAACUAAAUCUCCUCUACAAUCUUCUCUUUUACAGCUACCAUCAAUAAAACCUAAUUUGUUCUUUGCUUGUAGUACAACUUUCAUAGAGUUACUUCAAAUAGUAUAAUUUUCAACUCCAGUUAGUUGUUGAGGAAUGAGAAUACAACCUGGAGUGUCGUACAGGUGGAGAAAUAAUGGAUUCCAUGGAUGAAUAUCAGUGAAUUGCUCUACAUGAUCCAUUGUUGGUGUCGUCACCAGCAUUGAUGAUUCGUCUCUUGUGUUCUGCAUUUUUAAGGAGAAUCUUCAAGAAUCAACAAGAGUAGUAACAAUUACUGCUCCGAUUAACCUAGAAAUCACUAAAUAUUGAUGAUUUUGACCGGCAGAUGAGGUAGCCUCCCAAAUCCAACAAUGGUAGAAAAUUAGGGUUUGUCUGCUACUAGUCUUCAACAGAAUCAAUCAAUUGCUUGACAGAUCACUUUCAAAUGCUCAUUUACUAGCCCAAUAACCACUGAUCGGAAACUAUGAUAUCGUGUUGAGAGAAGAAUUGGGGCUGGAGAUGAAUGAGAGCAAGAGAGAGAGAAUGUCGGUUGUGAGAGCAAUUGACUCUCUGAU
rnacentral:lncRNA from 1 species